UCUGCCAGCGACAUUAUUGGGAACCUUUCUCAAGUUAUCAAUAGCAACAGCUGCAGCAGAUUUAACAUCAAUCGCUCAAGUGUAUGGGAUGGAGCGGUCCGGGGAUUCAUUCGUGCAUCAUACAACACAAACAGUGAAUUGUUUGUAAAGUUUACAGAUGACGCUGGUUGCUUUGAAGAGGCCAUUGAUAUGGGUGGUCCCAAAAGAGAGUUCCUGACACUUCUCAUUAGUAGCCUUAGAGAUCGGCCUAUAUUCGAUGGACCGUCAGAUAGCCGAUAUCUGACAUUCAAUUCAACAGAUACAGGAUGCCAAUUCUGUAGACAGUCUUCGAAACAUAAUUAUGCAAAACAGCGCUGUGCUACAAACAGCUGGAUGUUUCCAUUAUGUCCAAGAUCUGGAGGCCAAGGACAGAAUUGUGAAGGAAUAUCUGCUGUGGUACAUAAUCUACAGAAACCAUUUUGCUAUUCAAAGGUUCAAAGAGGGACUUGCAAGCCUGCAAUUUCUAACAGCUUUGGAACAACAUCCCACUUUAUUGGUGGGUUUCAUGUGCGACUCUGACAAAAAGCUCAGAGCUACAGACUUGGAAAACCUUUUCAAAGUGGAGCUAAGUGGAGUUGGAAGCAACAGACGAAGGAGAGAAAGUAAAACCAUAGGCUUCUGGGCAGACUACUUGCUUGAUUGUGAAGAACAAGAAAGUGCUGCGUCCCUGGAAGAUGUCCUAAUGUUCGCUACAGGGCUGAGAUCACUGCCACCUGCAGGAAUCCAACCACGGCCUUCUAUUGAGUU